CACGGAAUUAGCCGGUCCUUUUUCUGAAGGUACAUACAAUAGAGGACACGUCCUCUUUUUUAUUCCCAACUAAAAGCAGUUUACAACCCAGAGGGCCGUCAUCCUGCACGCUACUUGGCUGGUUCAGACUUUCGUCCAUUGACCAAUAUUCCUCACUGCUGCCUCCCGUAGGGGUCUGGACCGUGUCUCAGUUCCAGUGUGGGGGACCUUCCUCUCAGAACCCCUACCGAUCGAAGGCUAGGUGGGCCGUUACCCCGCCUACUACCUAAUCGGACGCAUCACCAUCUCAUACCGAUAAAUCUUUGGUUACAUCACCAUGCGGUACAUACUAACAUACGGUAGUAAUACUUACUUUACUCGAGAGUACUACCGACCG
rnacentral:rRNA from 1 species